rnacentral:sRNA from 2 species
GUCAAUCACCCCUGCCUGAAGGCAGAGGCUUGUAAGGUGACUUACAACGAGGUGGGCACAAAAGUGCUUUGCAAGGGUUGAUUAGGGGGCAAAAAGGAAACUUUAUGCAGAAGUUAGUUGGAAGAGAUACAUACACACCAUGGGAUACUCCACUAGUCCCAUGCAACUGUGAUCUGCCAUUAAACAGAGAGGAAACUUUCAGUGUGUCAGAUUUAAAAACUCCUUCUAACAACCCCGAAGUGGAUUACUCUAGCCUGCGGAGGC